rnacentral:rRNA from 1 species
AGUGAACGCUGGCGGUAGGCCUAACACAUGCAAGUCGAACGGCAGCACAGUAAGAGCUUGCUCUUACGGGUGGCGAGUGGCGGACGGGUGAGGAAUACAUCGGAAUCUACUUUUUCGUGGGGGAUAACGUAGGGAAACUUACGCUAAUACCGCAUACGACCUACGGGUGAAAGCAGGGGAUCUUCGGACCUUGCGCGAUUGAAUGAGCCGAUGUCGGAUUAGCUAGUUGGCGGGGUAAAGGCCCACCAAGGCGACGAUCCGUAGCUGGUCUGAGAGGAUGAUGAGCCACACUGGAACUGAGACACGGUCCAGACUCCUACGGGAGGAAGCAGUGGGGAAUAUUGGACAAUGGGCGCAAGCCUGAUCCAGCCAUACCGCGUGGGUGAAGAAGGCCUUCGGGUUGUAAAGCCCUUUUGUUGGGAAAGAAAAGCAGCAGGUUAAUACCCCGCUGUUCUGACGGUACCCAAAGAAUAAGCACCGGCUAACUUCGUG